CGCACCGUGAGGCCGCUGGAGCGGAGCUGCGUGUCUCGGGGACCCUUGGGGGAAGUCCUCGGUCCCCAGGUUCCGGGCCAGAUGGCCCGACACCGGGAGAAGCAGGGGUCGCGACGCCGAGACCAUUGUUCAACCAGCUGCUUGGAGGACAGCGGCGGCCAGGGCCGCGAGGUGGAGGCAGGGCAGGGCUGGGACCCAGCGGCGUGGGGACCCGGAGCCAGCCGGGCCUGGGGUGGGCGCCCCGGGAAGCCCGGGGCUCAGGAGCAGGCGAGCAAGGGGAAGCCCGCAGAUGGACGGGAGGAGGCGCUAGGUCCCUCGGAGGCUCUAGGAUUCCAUGGGCACGGGGCCCUCCGAGCUGCCUGCCCUGCCGAGUAGGGACGGGCUGACACCCAAGCCCCAGGGCGAUCUGCUCAGGUGGCUGUGUUGGGCCCAUGUGACUUCCGGGGCCCCUCUGCGCGGCCCUCAGAGGGGAGAGGCGUCUGUGGCUCUGCGGUGAGCCCCAGCGGAGACCGAGGUCGCAGUGGAGAGGGAUCCGGGGCUGAGACCCGACAGGCUGCUGAGUCCCAGGCAGGGUCCGGAGCAGAGUGCUCAGGCCUCAGCCUCCAGAGCACGGCUAGGGCCGCGGGUGUCCCGGGAAGAAGCCCCCAGCCCACCAGUGGGGGCUCCAUCCCCAAUCCCCAGGACAGGCGGGACUUCCAGGGUGCCAGCGCAGUGAGGAGGAGGACGCUGGAGUGCGGGCCCCUGACAGGCCGCGCUGGGUGGGCACACGGCUGGGGAAGUCCAAGGAGAGAGCUGACCGCCCAGCCCCACAUCCCGCUCCCGGUGCACCGAGAGCAGCCUGCAGACACUCUCCGAGCCCACGCCAGUGCUGUUUAAUCCUUUGGAAAACACUUGGCCAGAAACCUGCCCCAGAAAGAGAGCGGCAGGAGAUUUCCACUGUGGCCAUGAACACUUUUGCCUGCUUGGGAACUCGUCUUUACAACAAACAAGAAUACCUUAUAAAAUUUAAAGGGCACCAAUGCGGAUUUCUAAGCAGGUGCAGGGUUCCGUGGAAACCACCCAGUGGCCAUCAUGGUGCUUCUACCACCAAGGAGAUGGCAGUCCGAGCCAGCCACGUGGCACCCGCUGAGCAACUACAGUGUGCCAAGCACUGCUCUAGACCCAGGAGGUAAACUGAGGAACCAAACCGGACCAGGUCCCAGUCUUUGUGGAGCUGCCAUUCCAGGCAGAGACAAUAAACAGAAAUGAUAUCAUUGCAGUCUCUAAGUGCUAUGAAAAAAUAAUGAACAGGGGAGCUGAGAGGCUACUUUGUACAGAGGGUUGGAGAAGGCUUCUCUGAUGAGCUGAUGACUGACCCUGAAGAAUAAAAAAGAAAGAAGCACACAAAGGUCAAAGGUGAGACAGGCAUUUGAGCUUCGAGAACAGCAAGUGAAAAGGCCCUGGGGUGAAGAGGGAGGUGCUAUAAUCCCAGAACUUCCUGUCGGAGAGGGGAGUUGGAAAUGAGGUUCUUGAGGGAAGCGAGGCUUGAUAGAUCCACCUCAUGGACCUGGGAGGAUUUUGUGGCGACCACUGGAAAAGACCUCCAUCUAUGGUUCCCAGCCGUGUGCUAGGGGACAGGGAUGGCAGCAAGCUCCCCCACCCCAACUCUUGGAGAGGGUGCUGUGCUCAGUGAGCCUGUUAUCUGGGACUCACCAGUGGGCAGACGGUUUGUCAUCAGUCGUUCCUGCAGCCUGGUAACAGCAGCACCUCGCUGAGCAGAAUCACUGUUUCCCGCUGCCCUGCUCAGGCAGAACACAAAUUUCUCCGCAUUUCAUGCUCACCGCACCGCAGGCAGCCAAGGUCAGCCCCUCGCCAUCAAGUGCAGGAUCAUAAACAAGUGACACGAUCCAGUUCAUGCUGUAAAGGGACAUCAGCCACACAGACCUUACCGCCUUCAGCCCUGUGCAGACAAAUGAUUAUAUUCACACACACACACACAGGCAGAUGAGGAGAUGGAGUGAGAUCAAAUCACGUCCCCGACACAGCUGUGAGGGGCAGAGCUACAACCCCAGUCCAGGUAGUUGAAGUCUUCAUCUCCGCCCGGCUGGCAUCGAGGACAAGG
ensembl:lncRNA